rnacentral:rRNA from 1 species
GAUGAACGCUGGCGGCGUGCCUAACACAUGCAAGUCGAGCGAACAGACCAGGAGUUCGUUCUGUCGACGUUGGCGGCGGGCGGGUGAGUGAUGAGUAGGUCGCCAACCUAUUAGCCUGGGCUUACUUCGAGGAACCGGAGACACUACCGGAUAAUAUUUCGAACUGCAUGGUGCGGUAGUGAAUGGUGGCUUUGCUAUCACUGAUAGGUGGUGCUGCGCCGUAUUAGCUAGUUGGUAAGGUAACGGCUUACCAAGGCAACGACACGUAGCCGGCCUGAGAGGGUGAUCGGCCACACUGGAACUGAGACACGGUCCAGACUCCUACGGGAGGCAGCAGUAGGGGAUAUUCCGCAAUGGGCGGAAGCCUGACCGAGCCACACCGCGUGAGUGAAGAAGGUCUUCGGAUUGUAAAACUCUGUUAUUAGGGAAGAACAGACGUGUAAGUAACUGUGAACGUCGUGACGGUACCUAAACAGAAAGCACCGGCUAACUACGUG